rnacentral:rRNA from 1 species
UAGGGAAUAUUGGACAAUGGGCGCAAGCCUGAUCCAGCCAUGCCGCGUGAGUGAAGAAGGCCCUCGGGUUGUAAAGCUCUUUUGUCCGGAAAGAAAAGCACUGGGUUAAUACCCCGGUGUCCUGACGGUACCGGAAGAAUAAGCACCGGCUAACUUCGUGCCAGCAGCCGCGGUAAUACGAAGGGUGCAAGCGUUACUCGGAAUUACUGGGCGUAAAGCGUGCGUAGGUGGUUUGUUAAGUCUGAUGUGAAAGCCCUGGGCUCAACCUGGGAAUGGCAUUGGAUACUGGCAGGCUAGAGUGCGGUAGAGGGUAGUGGAAUUCCCGGUGUAGCAGUGAAAUGCGUAGAGAUCGGGAGGAACAUCUGUGGCGAAGGCGACUACCUGGACCAGCACUGACACUGA